CUUAGGGAACCGGUGAUCGCUUUCUUUCCUUCGCUCCACGUCUCUUCCUCUGCUUCUUCGAUGGAGGGAACCAGGAAGGCUCCCGCCGGCUCCACAAUGCUACUCAAGCAGCUUAGGAGCUUCCGUUCCUUCCUCACGACGGGGAAGACCGUGGCCUUUGCGUACGGUUUCCUGACCGCUUUCGUAUUCUUCACCAUCUUCCUUGCCUUCUCUGUCUCCACGAAGCCCAGCGGCGACCGCAAUGGCCACGACUCCACUGGGAAUAUUUUGCUCACUGAAGAGAUACUCCUGGGAAGUGCUGUCCACUCUGUUUCUGCAAACCGAUGCAUUUCUACUUUCUACAGAAGUAACCAACAAGAACAAUUUCUUCCGCCCCCUCCUGCCACAAUGAAUCUGACGGAAACCCAUGAAGCUCUGAACCCCGAGAACGAGAUUCGAAUUGUCGCUGCUCCAGCUGAAGAAGGAAGAAAUAGUGCCGCGGGCAAAUGGGAGGACUAUAACUGUUAGAUUUAUCAGGAGUACAAUACCUUGAAAAGGCGAUGUCUCGGACAGCUCACAGCAAAAUGUACCUGCAUCGUUGCGGUUAAGGACGAUGGUGCUAAACGUACGAUAUUGAAUAGUAUAGUCGGAACUCUCGACAUUAGUAUCCGGAACCUACAUCAUGGAGAAAGUUUUCCAGGGGAACAUGUAAAGCCUGGGAUACAGCAUCUCUAUCAAAGAGAUACAGAAAGAUAUGCGUAUGUCGCAAAUGUAUGUGUGGCUAAAUUUGCAAGACGACAGGGAAUCGCAAGUAACAUGUUACAGUUAGCAAUAGAAACUGCCAAGGAAUCAGGUGCAAGGCAAGUGUUUAUACUCGUAGAUAAAAACAACAAAGCUGCACAACAGCUGUAUGAAAAGAUGGGAUUUCAGACAGUUGAGAAGGCAACACCUCAUUUAUUAGCUGAACAACAGUACCUGAUGUGCUUCAACACACAGACUUCACCCUGCCAUUAUCAUAUUUAGACCAGACUUGUACAGGAGAAUCGAGAUAUUAUUUGAGCUGUCCAUCAUCAAGCAGUCAAAUGUUGCAGACCAGCUUUGCAUUGUAAUUGAUUAGUUUCAUUCUUUAGAGCAGAGUCCACUCUGUGUCGACGAAAUUUUUCUUUUUCAUCAAACCCUGUUCUAGCAUGGCAGCAAUUGAGGAAACAAGGUUUCACCCAAAAAUUGGGAACCAAGCAUUAUCACUGGUUUGCAAUUGCUUUAUA